CUCCCUCCCUGCUUGUUACUUAAUGCCUGUGUGCCAUUCAGUCUGUGUUGGAUCUUUGUGGUUAGUCUCAUGUGUGUGUUUGCUCUGCUCCAGCUCCCUACCUUCUCAUGGAUUUUUUGGUUCUUAAUGGAUAACCUGUUUUUUGUUGGACUUGUUGUAUCUGCCACUAUUAAGACCUCCUCCGUUUCAGCAAACCGCCAGCCUCGUAAGCUCUCGGUUCCGCCCGCAGCCUGGACUCUUCCCCGCUCUCGGACGUCCCCCCUACCCUGGAUCUGGGAGAGAGCCUCAGCCUCGAACCUCUGAAUUCCCCUGCUCAUUCUCUUCUGAAUAAACUGUCUUUACUCA